rnacentral:sRNA from 1 species
AGGUGCCGGGCGCAGGCCCAGCGCGGCGUUAGUAGAGACGCGCCGGGUGCCAGCCCCUCGCCGCGCGCCGCACCUUAAAUUGUUGACAAAGUGCUCCCACUUUGUGGCUGGAGCCGUGCGACCUUGGCGCGGGUCCCCGAGUGGCGGGCUGGAAAACCUGGAGGCCAGAGCCGUUCGCGGACUCGCCCGAGCCCAGCCAGCCAGUGGGGAGAGGCAGGACGCGGACUCCGCGUGCUUUGAUUGCGCCCGGCAGUCCUCGGCGUGGGCUCCCGGCCUCGCAGCGGCAGCUGCAGCUGCAGCGGCACGCGAGAGCUGUCAAAUGCACGUUCUCGGACCCCACCCGGACCCACGGAAUCCGAAUCUCUGGGUGGGUCCGCGCAACUGUGGAGUGGCCCUCCGGGUGAUGGUGUGUGUUGCUUGCAAAGUUUGAGAACCACUCGGUUAUGGAGCACUAAGAGGCUGCAGCCGGAGUCCAGCCCUUUGGGUUAAGGUUACAGGGAGCCAGGGUUUCCUUUUAAAAUUCAUGCUGCAUAAAGGGUAGGGUGGCCUUUCUCCUUUUCCGGGCCAUUUUGGUUAAAAAGAUAAAGAUAUUCGAAGUAAUUACUCAGAGCGCAGGGGCCGGGGCUUGGCUUUACUGUUGUAGGUGAUAACCUUGUCAACUGCUUAUUAGUGAAUGCUGAGCAAGUUUCCCAAAGUUUGUAUUUUUAAAAAUAGAAAACCGUGAGGACAUACUGAAUGCCGGCGACAAAUUAACAGAGGUCCUUGAAGAGGCUAACACUCUGUUUAAUGAAGUGUCCCGAGCAAGAGAAGCAGUCCUGGAUGCCCACUUUCUUGUUUUGGCUUCAGAUUUGGGCAAAGAGAAAGCAAAGCAGCUGCGCUCAGACCUGAGCUCCUUUGACAUGUUAAGAUAUGUUGAAACUCUACUCACACAUAUGGGUGUAAAUCCGCUAGAAGCUGAAGAACUCAUCCGUGAUGAAGAUAGUCCUGAUUUUGAAUUCAUAGUCUAUGACUCCUGGAAAAUAUCAGGCAAAACAGCAGAAAACACCUUUAAUAAAACCCAUACAUUCCACUUUCUGUAAGAUUAUUUUAAAAAUCCAACAGACCAGCUAUUUGUGAACCUUAAAUUGCUUUUUCUUGUAGGGACAAAAAUUAUUUGGUAUUGUAGAGGUGACAGUCGUGAUGCCAUUGUUUGGAGACUUUUGAAACUUUGAUAUAAAAGUUCAUAAACACUAGGCCGGGCGUGGUGGCUCACGCCUGUAAUCCUAGCACUUUGGGAGGUGGAUGCAGGUAGAUCAUCUGAGCUCAGGAAUUCAAGAUCAGCUUGGGCAACAUGGCGAGAACCCAUCUCUACC